rnacentral:ncRNA from 1 species
AGAUAAAAAUUUAUGAUUUAAAGAAUUUAUUUUAAGUUUAAUUUACAUAUAAAUUUUAGUAUUAAUUUUGUUAAAUUUAAAAAAUUUAAUAAGAAAAUGUAUAGUAAUUAAAAUUAAAAAUUUAAGAAAUUAAGAUUUAGUAAUACAAAAAUUAAAUAACAAAUUUUGUGCCAGCAGUUGCGGUUAUACAAAAAUUUAAAUAAAUUUUAUUAGUAAAAAUAAAUAAUAAAAUAUUAAAUUAAAAAAAAAAAUUAUUAAGCGAAAUUUUAAUUUUUUAAAAAUUUAAAUUAAAAUUAUGAUUUUAAAAAUUUUAUAAAAAACUAGGAUUAGAUACCCUAUUAUAAAAAAUUAAUUUAAAUUACUAAAAUAGUAUGUAAUUAUUUAUUGAAACUUAAAUAAUUUGGCGGUAUUUUAGUUCAUUUAGAGGAAUCUGUCUAAUAAUUGAUAUUCCACGAAUAAUCAUAUUUAAUUUAAAAUUUUAUAUAUCGUUGUUAAAAAAAUAUUUUUAGAUAAAAAUAAUAUUUUAAAAUUUUAAUUUAAAAUUAAUUCAGAUCAAGAUGUAGAUUAUAAUUAAAUUUAAGAUGGAUUACAAUAUAUUUAUAUAAACGAAUAGUAAUUUUGAAAUAUUUAUUUGAAGGUGGAUUUAAAUGUAAUUUUAAAUAGUUUUUUAAAAUGAUUUAUAAUUGAAAUAUGUACAUAUUGCCCGUCACUUUCAUUUAAAAAUUGAAAUAAGUCGUAACAAAGUAGGGGUACUGGAAAGUGUUCCUAGAAAGA